GCUCCUGAGUUGGCUCAAUUGGCAGAGCAAGAGACUUUUCAUCUCAGGGUUGUGGGUUCGAGCCCCACGUUGGGCA